ensembl:lncRNA
AGUGGAGUGAGAACACACAGGGGAGAGCAGGGCAGAAGCUGCAGCCCUGCUGGUCUCUGAGUCUGGAUGUAGGCAGAAGCGACUGGAAAUCUGGGGUCACAGCUCUGAAGUGCUCAACACAAAGCAUGGAAUUAGAGCUGGGCACACUGCUGGAACCCGGGGCCUGGGAAACUGGUGGUGUCACCCGUUUCCUGGGGCUGUGGCUUAUCAUGAAGAUGCUUACCUAGGCACACCCAGGGUCAGCCGGAUCCAAGCUGAGCUAGUGCUGCAAGAUGUAAUUCUAGAUGAGGAGAUCCAAAGGACCUGGGGAGGCAAAGGUGAAAACCCCUAGAUGGUGGAGGGAUGAGCUUGUAUACUCAGAAACGUGAGGAGGGAAUUCCCUGGUGGUCCAGUGGUCAGGAGUCUGUGCUUCCACUGCAGGAGACACAGGUUCAAUCCCUAUUCAGGGAUUAAGAUCCUGCAUGCGGUGCAGCCAAAAUAAUUAAAUAAAUAAAAACUUUAAAACAUCACAAAGAUGGUGGCCAUGUUUGGGUCAGCCUCUAAAAGAAAAGUGAGGAAAACUAAUAAGAAAAAAGAAUGGAAACAAAGAAAAAUUUACCCUAGAAAUGAAAAUAACAGAGUAAUCAGAAAAUAUCUUCAAUAGAAAUAAGUUAAGGAUCAUCAAAGAGAUUAGGGCAACAAGAAACUCAUUAAAGAAAAAAGGGGGAGUCAUAAAACAAUAGGUGAAUAUGAAAAUUUUAAAAAUUCUAGCAUUGAAAAAUAGUGUAAUUAGAACUUGAGAAGAUGGAGAACUAUAGCCUGGACACAUAGAAAUCAUGAAUUGGACACUCAUGCUGAGGAAUUAAUUUAGAAUGCAGGAUAGACAUGGAGAACAGAGUGACAGGCUUUAGUACAAGUCUAGUAGGAAUUCCAGAUACGAAUCAAGGAAAUGGCAGAAAAACAUUUGAAGGGGUAAUGACUGAGAAUUCCAAAACUGAAGUAACUGCAUGAAUACCAAACAGAAUGCUGCUGCUGCUGCUAAGUUGCUUUAGUCAUGUCCGACUCUGCGACUGCAUAGACGGCAGCCCACCAGUACUCUUGCCUGGAAAAUCCCACGGACAGAGGAGCCUGGUGGGCUGCAGUCCAUGGGGUCUCGAAGAGUCAGACACGACUGAGCGACUUCCCUUUCACUUUUCACUUUCACGCAUCAGAGAAGGAAAUGGCAACCCACUCCAGUGUUCUUGCCUGGAGAAUCCCAGGGACAGCAGAGCCUGGUGAGCUGCUGUCUAUGGGGUUGCAGAGUUGGACAUGACUGAAGCGACUUAGCAGCAGCAGCAAACAGAACUCUUGUUGGUUUUUUCCCUUUUCUCUCAUCCAAAUCCAUUUCUUUCCUGACUUUUCUGUAUGAAUGAAUGGCACCCCCACCACCCUCCAUCUAUCCCAUCAGUUCAAUCCUUCAGAAUACAUCCCACCACUCAGCACCUCCAUUGCCUGGGAUGUUCGAGUAGCUCCUCUCUGGUCCCCUGCUAGUCCUCUGCAGCAACCAGAGUAGUCCCUUAGUGAAAAACGUUUUAACCUACAAAAAAUAAAUUAGCUUUUAUAAUGAAACGCAU